rnacentral:rRNA from 1 species
CCUACGGGUGGCAGCAGUGAGGAAUAUUGGUCAAUGGACGAGAGUCUGAACCAGCCAAGUAGCGUGAAGGAUGACUGCCCUAUGGGUUGUAAACUUCUUUUAUAAAGGAAUAAAACGAGGCACGUGUGCCUUUUUGCAUGUACUUUAUGAAUAAGGAUCGGCUAACUCCGUGCCAGCAGCCGCGGUAAUACGGAGGAUCCGAGCGUUAUCCGGAUUUAUUGGGUUUAAAGGGCGCGUAGAUGGGUUGUUAAGUCAGUUGUGAAAGUUUGCGGCUCAACCGUAAAAUUGCAAUUGAUACUGGCAGUCUUGAGUGAGCGAGAAGUAUGCGGAAUGCGUGGUGUAGCGGUGAAAUGCAUAGAGAUCACGCAGAACUCCGAUUGCGAAGGCAGCAUACCGGCGCUCAACUGACGCUCAUGCACGAAAGUGUGGGUAUCGAACAGGAUUAGAUACCCGAGUAGUC